ACAGAAAGUAUUUGGAAAACUAAAUUUUAUAAUUUUUCGGCAUCAUUUACCUAUCAAACAAGUAGUCUAAAAAUAAACGGCUGAAAAUAAAAAUUUUAUAAAAAAUGAUGAUAAAAGACUUAAAUUUAAGAUUAGAGCUACUGAUCUUACUCUAAAUAGUGUAAAGAAUUUUCUAUAAAAAUUUCAUCAGAUUUAGAUUGUUUUACCUCGUUAAAUUCACAAACGCCUCAUAUCUACCAUUAGAAUUGUCAAUUUUGGGACCUUUAAUCACCAGCCAAAUGAUAUCGAAAAAUUAUGAAAUUUAGUUUUCAAAUACUUUUAAUAGUGUGGAUCAAGUCUAACAGAGCUGAUCGUCAAUUUGAAAGCCGCAUCAUUGAAAACAACUUGGUAGCACGGA
rnacentral:lncRNA from 1 species